rnacentral:lncRNA from 1 species
UGACAAUGUAAUAAUCGUUAUUAGCAACUAUCGUAACAGAUGCUUCUCUUUUUGCAAUGAUAUCAUCGUACAGAGGAUCAUUGUCAAUCUUGUAUUCUUUUAUAAUAAUAGGACUACCUUUGUGCACUGCAGUAUCCAACCUCCCUUGUCCACCUACACCUAUUGGCUCAAGCUUGUUUCUAUUAACUUUGCGAAUAUCACUGUAGGCUUCCAUGGCUCCCUUCUCGUAGUAGAAAUUGUAGCUACAAGUUGUGACAAUAGCUAGUAGUAUAAGCCCAAUUCUGAACCAUAUAUUUUCUUUUAAUAAUCUCUAGUGAACACAAGUAAUGUAUAUGUGAAGUACUUAUGCUAAACCACUCAUCAGCACCAAUCAUACCUAAAAUGCAUGUCUGCUAUUUCACAUCUCAAAUUUCUUAGAUCUAGGUAUAAGACAUUCAAUGAAUCUUGGAAAGUAAUCACCAGCAACAGAUGCUUUAGAGCAAUCAGAAUCAUAUUUUUUGUCUUUACUCUCAAAUGGAAUAUCUUUGUUCUUUAUAACUAGUUUGUUAUUAUAUGUGGACCUCUUAACUCUCUAUCCAUCUUGAAGCUUUUUGAGUAUCUUAUCAUCAAGGAAAUCCCACUUUUUGUGUACAUAUAUUGUUUUAGUUAUUGUAUUUCUUUCAUAAUAAGGAUGAUCUAAUAGAUCAAAGAAGUCUUGAGAUUUCCUUCUACUUCUUCUCAUACUCUCUU